rnacentral:tRNA from 2 species
GGAUCGUUAGCUCAAUCGGCAGAGCAGCUGACUCUUAAUCAGCGGGUUGUAGGUUCGAUUCCUACACGAUCCACCA